rnacentral:rRNA from 1 species
CUACGGGCUGCUGCAGUGAGGAAUAUUGCACAAUGGGGGGAACCCUGAUGCAGCAACGCCGCGUGGAGGAUGACGCAUUUCGGUGUGUAAACUCCUUUUAUAUGUCAAGAAAAUGACGGUAGCAUAUGAAUAAGCACCGGCUAACUCCGUGCCAGCAGCCGCGGUAAUACGGAGGGUGCAAGCGUUACUCGGAAUCACUGGGCGUAAAGUACGCGUAGGCGGGUUGGAAAGUCAGGUGUGAAAUCCUACAGCUUAACUGUAGAACUGCACUUGAAACUUCUAGUCUAGAGUAUGGGAGGGGAGAUGGAAUUAGUGGUGUAGGGGUAAAAUCCGUAGAUAUCACUAGGAAUACCCAAAGCGAAGGCGAUCUCCUGGAACAUUACUGACGCUAAGGCGUGAAAGCGUGGGGAGCAAACAGGAUUAGAUACCCGAGUAGUC